UGGUUUUUCCUGCUGUUUGUUUUUGCUGGGUUGUGAUUCUGCGUCACUCCCGAUAAACUGAUCUUUUGCUGGUAAAAUAACUAGCAGUUUUAUUUUUAAUACGAACAAAAACUAAAACAAAUCAUCCUGGUGGUGUUUGAAAGGAACCAGUGGAAAGAAAGUAAAGCGUGCAUGUGAGGGACAUCUGUCUCCUAGAAAGAUGCUGUUUAAAAUAUUUCUGCAGGAAAGAAAAGAAAAAAAAAAAAAAAAGAAAAGUAAAAAAGAAAAGAAAAAAAAAAGCCAGCAGAUCUCUCUGUUCGAACUUCAGACCUCCAAAGAGAAUUUCCAAGAAGCGGACGAAAUCUGUGUUUUGGUGAUGGACAGACCCAGGACUGAGUCUCUCCCAGCUCCUGUUCUAUAUAUUUAUUUGACAGAGAGAGAGACAGCAGGAGAGGUAACACAAGCAGAUGCAGAUAUGUGAUACCUGGAAGGAUACAUGGAAACAAAAGCAUGUGGGGAAAAAAUACGGAUGAAGG